rnacentral:misc_RNA from 1 species
GGAGCAGAUCAAGGUUAAAAUGAUUGUUGCAGAUGAUGGAAGCUUGUCGGAAAUAGUUGUUCAAGGUGAUGACCAAGAAGUAGAGAAAAUGCGGAAGGAGCUACAGCUGAGUGAAAAAGGCAUGGUUUAUGUUAAGGGCUUACUUGAAAGGUGAUAUUACUUGGUUUUCUUGUAAGAUAUAUAUGUCUGAAACAUACUCCUCCAUAAUGCUUGGUCAACAACGUUCUUUUGUUGUAACGUGGAAAGUUCUAAGAAGCUGUAAAUUAAUUGCCCAUGCAUAUAUUUGUCAGA